GGGGGGUAUUGGGUGGGGAUGCCUGGAGGGAUCUAUGGGGGGGGGGUGGGAAUAGAUCCUAUAGGGUAUGCUAUAGGGCCCGGCCCCUCUCGAGGCAGCGCUGCCCCAUGCGUUCCUCCCCCCCGGGGUCGGGCCCCAGAGUGAGGAGGGGGCAAACCUACGGCCGGCGGCUCUUAUUCCCCCCCCACCCCCCCCAAAAUUGGAGCCGUCGGUAUACAGCAGCCCCCACAAACCCUAUAGGGGAAGGAGCAGCUCCUGUGGAUCCUAUAGACCCCCCCCCCCCCCCCCAUUAUAAGGGUUGGGGUGAAGGAGAAGGAAUGGCUGUGGUGGAGGCGUUGGGACAACGGGACGGUGGCGGAGUGGUGAGACGUGGGUAGGAUGGGGGCGUCAAUGGGGGGACAGUGGUGGCAGUGGAAGGGAUGGGGACAAAAUGGAGUCAAUGGAGAUGAAUGGAGGAGAGAACGGUGGCAUGGAAAUGAAUGGGGGACAAAGUGGUGACAUUGGAAUGAAUGGGGGGCAAAAUGGCAUUGGAAUGGAUGAAUGGGGGACAAAAUGGAGUCAAUGGAGAUGAAUGGGGGGCAAAAUGGUGGCAUUGAAACGAAUGGGGGACAAAAUGGAGUCAAUGGAAAUGAAUGGGGGACAAAAUGGUGGCGUUGGAAUGAAUGGGGGACAAAAUGGAGUCAAUGGAGAUGAAUGGGGGGCAAAAUGGUGGCAGUGGAGAUGAAUGGGGGACAAAAUGGAGUCAAUGGAGAUGAAUGGGGGGCAAAAUGGUGGCAUUGAAAUGAAUGGGGGACAAAAUGGUGGCAGUGGAAAUGAAUGGGGGACGAAAUGGAAUCAGUGGAGAUGAAUGGGGGGCAAAACAGAGUCAAUGGAGAUGAAUGGAGGAGAAAAUGGCAUCAAUGGAAAUGAAUGGGGGGCAAAAUGGUGGCAUGGAAAUGAAUGGGGGACAAAAUGGCAGCAUUGGAAUGAAUGGGGGACAAAAUGGCAUUGGAAUGAAUGAAUGGGGGACAAAAUGGAGUCAAUGGAGAUGAAUGGGGGACAAAAUGGUGGCAUUGAAAUGAACGGGGGGCAAAACAGAGUCAAUGGAGAUGAAUGGAGGAGAAAAUGGCGUCAAUGGAAAUGAAUGGGGGACAAAAUGGCAUUGGAAUGAAUGAAUGGGGGACAAAAUGGAGUCAGUGGAAAUGAAUGGGGGACAAAAUGGCGGCAUUGGAAUGAAUGGGGGACAAAAUGGCAUUGGAAUGAAUGAAUGGGGGGCGAAAUGGAGCCAAUGGAGAUGAAUGGGGGACAAAAUGGCGGCCCCAAAAUGGCGGCCCCGCAGUGGUGGCCCAAUGGUGGCGCUGCAGUGGGGUGGGGGUGGCAAUAAAGACUUUUCACCCCCCCAAAAAUGGCUCUUUUU
ensembl:lncRNA